GACGAACGCUGGCGGCGUGCUUAACACAUGCAAGUCGAACGGAAAGGCCCUGCUUGCAGGGUACUCGAGUGGCGAACGGGUGAGUAACACGUGGGUGAUCUGCCCUGCACUUCGGGAUAAGCUUGGGAAACUGGGUCUAAUACCGGAUAGGAGCCAUCUUUAGUGUGGUGGUUGGAAAGUUUUUUCGGUGUAGGAUGAGCUCGCGGCCUAUCAGCUUGUUGGUGGGGUAAUGGCCUACCAAGGCGGCGACGGGUAGCCGGCCUGAGAGGGUGUACGGCCACAUUGGGACUGAGAUACGGCCCAGACUCCUACGGGAGGCAGCAGUGGGGAAUAUUGCACAAUGGGCGCAAGGCUGAUGCAGCGACGCCGCGUGGGGGAUGAAGGCCUUCGGGUUGGAAACUCCUUUCGCUAGGGACGAAGCUUUUUUGUGACGGUACCUAGAUAAGAAGCACCGGCUAACUACGU
rnacentral:rRNA from 1 species